UAGAGGAAGUAAAAGUCGUAACAAGGUUCUCCGUAGGUGAACCUGCGGAGUGGAUCAUUACACAAAAUAUGAAGGCGGGCUGGAACCUCUCGGGGUUACAGCCUUGCUGAAUUAUUCACCCUUGUCUUUUGCGUACUUCUUGUUUCCUUGGUGGGUUCGCCCACCACUAGGACAAACCUUAAACCUUUUGUAAUUGCAAUCAGCGUCAGUAACAAAUUAAUAAUUACAACUUUCAACAACGGAUCUCUUGGUUCUGGCAUCGAUGAAGAACGCAGCGAAAUGCGAUAAGUAGUGUGAAUUGCAGAAUUCAGUGAAUCAUCGAAUCUUUGAACGCACAUUGCGCCCUUUGGUAUUCCAAAGGGCAUGCCUGUUCGAGCGUCAUUUGUACCCUCAAGCUUUGCUUGGUGUUGGGCGUCUUGUCUCUAGCUUUGCUGGAGACUCGCCUUAAAGUAAUUGGCAGCCGGCCUACUGGUUUCGGAGCGCAGCACAAGUCGCACUCUCUAUCAGCAAAGGUCUAGCAUCCAUUAAGCCUUUUUUUCAACUUUUGACCUCGGAAUAAAAAAAGGAUACCCGCUGAACUUAAGCAUA
rnacentral:rRNA from 1 species